GAAAAAUAAAGGAGGGGUCAAAACCAAGAGAAAUUCUGUUUAUUGUUGAAGAUGGUCAUCAGGAGGAGUGGAUGGGCGCACCCAUAAACAAACUCAUCGUCAGGGUGGGACAGCGAUAACUGUUGGAACUGGGACUUCCAAUAACAACAAAGCCCCAAAUCAUCUGUGGGAGUCCAUUCUGAGUUGUCUUUACUCUCCUAUUGGCCUGUGUCCCCCAGUGUCACCACGUCUUGAUUACACUAGCU
rnacentral:lncRNA from 1 species